GCCCAAGUGGUGAAAACUGGUAGACACAAGGGACUUAAAAUCCCUCGACUUUUAAACAGUCAUGCGGGUUCAAAUCCCGCCUUGGGCACCA
rnacentral:tRNA from 1 species